CCUACGGGAGGCUGCAGUGGGGAAUAUUGGACAAUGGGGGGAACCCUGAUCCAGCCAUGCCGCGUGUGUGAAGAAGGCCCUCGGGUUGUAAAUCACUUUCAGUGAGGAAGAACGCCUGGUGGUUAAUACCCAUCAGGAAAGACAUCACUCACAGAAGAAGCACCGGCUAACUCCGUGCCAGCAGCCGCGGUAAUACGGAGGGUGCGAGCGUUAAUCGGAAUUACUGGGCGUAAAGCGCGCGUAGGUGGCUUGAUAAGCCGGUUGUGAAAGCCCCGGGCUCAACCUGGGAACGGCAUCCGGAACUGUCAAGCUAGAGUGCAGGAGAGGAAGGUAGAAUUCCCGGUGUAGCGGUGAAAUGCGUAGAGAUCGGGAGGAAUACCAGUGGCGAAGGCGGCCUUCUGGACUGACACUGACACUGAGGUGCGAAAGCGUGGGUAGCAAACAGGAUUAGAUACCCCAGUAGUC
rnacentral:rRNA from 1 species